rnacentral:rRNA from 1 species
UCCAGACUCCUACGGGAGGCAGCAGUGGGGGAUAUUGCACAAUGGGGGGAACCCUGAUGCAGCGACGCCGCGUGAGUGAAGGAGCGUUUCGGCGCGUAAAGCCCUAUCGGCAGGGAAGAAGGAGGACGGUACCUGACUAAGAAGCCCCGGCUAACUACGUGCCAGCAGCCGCGGUAAUACGUAGGGGGCAAGCGUUAUCCGGAUUUACUGGGUGUAAAGGGGGCGCAGACGGCAGCGCAAGCCAGGAGUGAAAGCCCGGGGCCCAACCCCGGGACUGCUCUUGGAACUGCGCGGCUGGAGUGCAGGAGGGGCAGGCGGAAUUCCUGGUGUAGCGGUGAAAUGCGUAGAUAUCAGGAGGAACACCGGUGGCGAAGGCGGCCUGCUGGACUGCGACUGACGUUGGGGCCCGAAAGCGUGGGGAGCAAACAGGAUUAGAUACCCUAGUAC